GAUGAAGAACGCAGCGAAAUGCGAUAAGUAAUGUGAAUUGCAGAAUUCAGUGAAUCAUCGAAUGUUUGAACGCGCAUUGCGACCCUUGGUAUUCCGAGGGGCAUGCCUGUUCGAGCGUCAUUAUAACCCCUCAAGCUCAGCUUGGUGUUGGGGCCUGCUGCACUGGCAGCCCUUAAAAUCAGUGGCGGCGCCAUCUGGCUCUAAGCGUAGUAAUUCUUCUCGCUAUGGAGUCCUGGUGGAUGCUUGCCAUCAACCCCCAAUUUUUCUAUGGUUGACCUCGGAUCAGGUAGGGAUACCCGCUGAACUUAAGCAUAUCAAUAAGCGGAGGA
rnacentral:misc_RNA from 1 species